GGAAGCUGAAGGGCAGAGCUGUAUCUGGCCAGGACACUGCCUCCGCCUCAGCAGCUUCCCUCCCUGCUCUCGCAUUUCUGUUUCCCCCAGAAUUGCCUGCACUCAGGUGCAGCUUCCCUUCCCUGCCCAUUCCAACCUGGACCCUCCCCACAAACCCUCUCACACUCUCUCUCCAUCUCUCUAUCACUUACACCCUCACACACACAUCCUCGCAGGCACGCUCACACUCUCACAUGCACACUGUCACGUGUAUAUUCUUACACUCCACACAUUCUCAUACACACUCAUGCACCCUCACACACACACACUCAUUCUCACACUGUCUCAUACUGUCUUCAUCGUUCACACAUACACAGUCACAAACACACACUCUCACGUGCACAUUUACGUUCUCACAUACUUACACCCACACAUGCACACACUUUCUCAUGGACAUUCACAUAUACGUGCAUUCAUACUCUCAUACUUUCUCCUUGUCUCUCCCAUGUACGCAUACACACACACGCUUUCUGAUGCACUCACACUCCCACAUGAACAUUCACAGUCACUCACGUAUUCUUACAAGCAUACAGACACACACUUUCUCAUGCACACACACUGUCAUAGGCACACUCACACAUGUUCAUACUCUGCCCCAUGCUUUCUCUUUGUCUCUCCCAUGUACAUACACACACACACACUUUCUGAUGCACUCUCAUAUGCACACUCAUGCACACUUACGCCCAUACUUACACACACUCUCACAUUGUCAUCCACAAAACAACAGGAGCUAAGAUCACCAGUGGCCUCUGUGCCAUGCAGGCCCAGGACAUUUUCAGUCUGCAGUUCCUCAACCCCUCCCAGGAGCAUCAGAGUUGCUGGGUCCCCUUCCCCAUCAGGACACCCUCUCCUUGGAUUCCAGGGUCCAGCAUUCUCCUGGUUUUCCUCCCACCGGUUCUCUGUCUCCUUUGCAGGUCUGCCCUUUCUUACUCGGCCAGUAAAUUCACAGACUCUUCCUUCUCUCUCUUCCUGCCCUCUGCCAGGACAUCCAGCAUCCCUGUGGCUCCAAAAACCAACUACAGGCAAACAGAUCAUAAGCAACCUCCCUCCUUACACCUGCUCUUCCUUCUGCCUGGAAUGUAUCUUACUUCUCGGUCUCUGUUCAAAUAUCACCUUGUCAGAGAGAACAUCCCUGGUCACCAGAACUAGAGUAGCCCCUUACUCCUUCUCACCAUCUAUCCCAUUAACCCUGGUUUAGUUUUCUUUCUUCCCUGUUACUGCCUGAAAUACUCUAUAUUUGUUUAUUAUCUAUUCAUCCCUACAAGAGGGUAAGCUCUGGGAGAAUUUGCAUCAGAUGCUAGUCUAGGUGCCAGAGAC
rnacentral:lncRNA from 1 species